GCUGAAAACACCAGUUCUCAUUUAAUCACUGAAGUUAAGCAGUGUCAAGCUUGGUCAGUACUUAGAUGGGGGACUGCUUGGAAACUCAG